AUAUUGUGGUAACUGGUAAUGAUAAGGAAGAAAUAGCUCAUCUAAAGGAGCGCCUAGCACAGGGGUUUGAAAUUAAAGAUUUGAGAAGGCUAAAGUACUUUCUUGGAUUAGAGGUUGCCAUAUCAGAUUAAAGAAUUUUUAUUUCUUAAACUGGAUAUGUUGGAAGAAACAGGAAUAUUGAGCUGUAAACCAGUGGAGUCUCCCAUUAAGGCAAAUCAUAAAUUGUAAGCUGGAAUUGGGAAAUCAGUGGAUAUAGGGAGAUAUUAGAGGUUGGUUGGCAGACUGAUUAUCUUUCGUACACUAGACCAGGCACAACAUAUGCAGUGGGUUUAGUGAGUCAAUAUAUGCAUAAUCCUCGUAAAUCUCAUUUGGAGGCUGUUUUCCAUAUCUUGCGGUACUUAAAAUCUGCACUUGGGAAAUGACUUCUUUUCUCAAAGUAUAGUCACCUUCAGAUUAAGGCCUUUACAAGAGCUGGAUCUCUUGAUGAUAGGAGAUCGACACCUUAUUACUGUACUUUUAUUGGUGGUAAUCUAGUCACUUGGAAAAGCAAGAAGCAUAAUGUGACAGCUAGAUCUAGUGCAAAGGCUGAGUUUAGAGCAAUGAAUCAAGGUAUUUGUGAAUUAUUGUGGUUACGAAAGUUAAUGGAGGAAUUAAAAUUGCUGGAAGCUAGUGGUGUGUCGUUGUUCUGUAAAAACAAAGCUGCCAUCAAUAUAGUUCACAAUCCAGUUCAUCAUGAUCGGACUAAGCAUGUAGAGAUUGACAGACACUUCAUAA
rnacentral:misc_RNA from 1 species